GACGAACGCUGGCGGCGUGCUUAACACAUGCCAGUCGAACGGAAAGGCCCUGCUUUUGUGGGGUGCUCGAGUGGCGAACGGGUGAGUAACACGUGAGUAACCUGCCCUUGACUUUGGGAUAACUUCAGGCAACUGGGGCUCCUACCGGCUAGGCGCUCCCGCUGCCUGGUGGGGGUUGGCACGUUUCGGCGGUUGGGGCUGGACUCGCGGCUUCUCAGCUUGUUGGUGGGGUAGUGGCUUACCAAGGCUUUGACGGGUAGCCGGCCUGCGAGGGGGACCGGACACAUGGGGACUGAGAGACGGCCCAGACGCCGACGGGAGGCAGCAGGGGGGAAGAGUGCACAAGGGGCGGAAGCCUGAGGCAGCAACGCCGCGUGCGGGAUGACGGCCUUCGGGUUGUAAACCGAGGGCGCCGGUGACGAAGCGGGAGGGACGGGAAUGGGGAAAGAAGCACCGGCUAACUACGUG
rnacentral:rRNA from 1 species